CUUAUUUUCUCUGCUGCACUUUUGAUUCUGUUCCUUUGUUAAAGUUUUAACGUGAAUCACAGACAUAAAGUGACCAAUUAAUCUGUGUUGGUCUUUCAUCGACCUUUAGGUGACCUUUGUGUCUAUGAAACAAUCAGAGGCCCUGAAAACUCUGGAAAAGGGAAACUUGAUGAUUCAGAGAAGAUCUGACAAAGUUGAUGCAACUUCAGAAUAAAACAUCAAAGUAGGUCCAUGGAGAGAAGUUCAACACAACCAUAUCAGGAAAAUCUCARUUUACKCACCAUUAGAUGUUUACCUGUAACAUCUGUC